UACAGAGGGUGCGAGCGUUUGUUCGGAAUUAUUGGGCGUAAAGGGCGCGUAGGCGGUGCGGUAAGUCACCUGUGAAAUCUCCUGGCUCAACUGGGAGCUUGCAGGCGAAACUGCCGUGCUGGAGUGUGGGAGAGGUGCGUGGAAUUCCCGGUGUAGCGGUGAAAUGCGUAGAUAUCGGGAGAAACACCUGUGGCGAAAGCGGCGCACUGGACCACAACUGACGCUGAGGCGCGAAAGCUAGGGGAGCAAACAGG
rnacentral:rRNA from 1 species